UUUUUCGCCUGCCCUUCUGAAUGUCCGUUUGAGCUCAAAUUUGACAGUCAGGCUUGGUUUUACUUAACUUAACGAAAGAAACUUUAAUCUUUCAGUUUCGACCACAUUUGGUCACCGAAAGCUCUGCCGAACUGUAAUCUCUAGCACAUAGCAGUCGGAUUUUAUUUUUCACCUUCCGGGUAUCAGAAUGACAUGAAACUUUAAAUCUAGCUUCAUAAAAAUAAUUUUGACAUAUUCUCCAGUUUUCAUAAUUUUCUGACACUGCAUUUUCUGCUAAAAUAUCAGCUCCGUUUCUCACGGAAAAUUCUAAAUCUUCUGUUUUCGUUCCGAUUUUAGCACGAGUCGUUUCCGACUUAUAUUUUACUUCUCUAAAUCCAAUAAAAAUAGUAUCUCGUACUAUUAGAGAUACUAUUUUUAUUUAUUUUUACUUUUUUAUCAAAAUCCGGUAUGUUACAACCAUGAGCCAUCUGUAUCAACAAAGAACACCAUCAAGUAAUAAGGGUCAGCGACAUA
rnacentral:lncRNA from 1 species